ensembl:snRNA U1 U1 spliceosomal RNA
AUACUUACCUGGCAGGGAAGAUACCAUGAUCAAAGAGAUGCCUUUUCCAGGGAGAGGCUCAUCCAUUGAACUUGGCAUGCACUGAUCCAAUUUCCCUAAAUGUGAGAAACUUGAAUAUGUAAUUUGUGAUAGUGGGAGAUCGUGGUUACACUCUCACCAA